rnacentral:rRNA from 1 species
AGCGCAGGCGGGAAACUAAGCGGAUCUUAAAAGUGCGGGGCUCAACCCCGUGAUGGGGUCCGAACUGGUUUUCUUGAGUGCAGGAGAGGAAAGCGGAAUUCCCAGUGUAGCGGUGAAACGCGUAGAUAUUGGGAAGAACACCAGUGGCGAAGGCGGCUUUCUGGACUGUAACUGACGCUGAGGCUCGAAAGCUAGGGUAGCGAACG